AACGAACGCUGGCGGCAGGCUUAACACAUGCAAGUCGAACGAACCUUUUAGGUGAGUGGCGCACGGGUGCGUAACGCGUGGGAAUAUGCCCUUGAGUGAGGAAUAACGUAGAGAAAUUUGCGCUAAUACCUCAUAAUGACUCCGGUCCAGAGAUUUAUCGCUCAAGGAUUAGCCCGCGUCAGAUUAGAUAGUUGGUGAGGUAACGGCUCACCAAGUCGACGAUCUGUAGGGGGUCUGAGAGGAUGAUCCCCCACACUGGUACUGAGACACGGACCAGACUCCUACGGGAGGCAGCAGUGAGGAAUAUUGGACAAUGGAGGAAACUCUGAUCCAGCCAUGCCGCGUGAGUGAAGAAGGCCUUAGGGUUGUAAAGCUCUCUCAAUUGCGAAGAUAAUGACGGUAACAAUAGAAGAAGCUCCGGCUAAAUUCGUG
rnacentral:rRNA from 1 species